rnacentral:misc_RNA from 1 species
UUAACAAUUGAUAUUUAUUAAACUCAGACAAAAGACAAAACAAAUUCAAAGAGUCCAUUCUUAGGUGCCAGCCCGGCCCAGCCACAUGCGCUAUGUAAGACCAGUACCGCCGCCCAGGGCAACGGGUAAGCUCCAAUAAACACUUAGCAUGGUUAGGUAAAGACAAACCAAAACUAGGUAAUUUAGUAAAGUAACCACUGAUAACCCAUGACGACGACACAAACCUCACUGCGAGGUUGAACCAGGACAAACAGUCACCCCUAGAAAGCAACAGGAAUAGUACACGGGAGGGUUUGAAUUGUAUUCUAAACUUAUAUAAAGCAUAGUACAGGAGGCCCUUCAAUGAUCCUUCCGCAGGUUCACCUACGGAAA